rnacentral:rRNA from 1 species
GGGUUGUGAGGUUAAGCGACUAAGCGUACACGGUGGAUGCCCUGGCAGUCAGAGGCGAUGAAGGACGUGCUAAUCUGCGAUAAGCGUCGGUAAGGUGAUAUGAACCGUUAUAACCGGCGAUUUCCGAAUGGGGAAACCCAGUGUGAUUCGUCACACUAUCAUUAACUGAAUCCAUAGGUUAAUGAGGCGAACCGGGGGAACUGAAACAUCUAAGUACCCCGAGGAAAAGAAAUCAACCGAGAUUCCCCCAGUAGCGGCGAGCGAACGGGGAGCAGCCCAGAGCCUGAAUCAGUGUGUGUGUUAGUGGAAGCGUCUGGAAAGGCGCGCGAUACAGGGUGACAGCCCCGUACACAAAAAUGCACAUGCUGUGAGCUCGAUGAGUAGGGCGGGACACGUGGUAUCCUGUCUGAAUAUGGGGGGACCAUCCUCCAAGGCUAAAUACUCCUGACUGACCGAUAGUGAACCAGUACCGUGAGGGAAAGGCGAAAAGAACCCCGGCGAGGGGAGUGAAAAAGAACCUGAAACCGUGUACGUACAAGCAGUGGGAGCACGCUUAGGCGUGUGACUGCGUACCUUUUGUAUAAUGGGUCAGCGACUUAUAUUCUGUAGCAAGGUUAACCGAAUAGGGGAGCCGAAGGGAAACCGAGUCUUAACUGGGCGUUAAGUUGCAGGGUAUAGACCCGAAACCCGGUGAUCUAGCCAUGGGCAGGUUGAAGGUUGGGUAACACUAACUGGAGGACCGAACCGACUAAUGUUGAAAAAUUAGCGGAUGACUUGUGGCUGGGGGUGAAAGGCCAAUCAAACCGGGAGAUAGCUGGUUCUCCCCGAAAGCUAUUUAGGUAGCGCCUCGUGAAUUCAUCUCCGGGGGUAGAGCACUGUUUCGGCAAGGGGGUCAUCCCGACUUACCAACCCGAUGCAAACUGCGAAUACCGGAGAAUGUUAUCACGGGAGACACACGGCGGGUGCUAACGUCCGUCGUGAAGAGGGAAACAACCCAGACCGCCAGCUAAGGUCCCAAAGUCAUGGUUAAGUGGGAAACGAUGUGGGAAGGCCCAGACAGCCAGGAUGUUGGCUUAGAAGCAGCCAUCAUUUAAAGAAAGCGUAAUAGCUCACUGGUCGAGUCGGCCUGCGCGGAAGAUGUAACGGGGCUAAACCAUGCACCGAAGCUGCGGCAGCGACGCUGAUGCGUUGUUGGGUAGGGGAGCGUUCUGUAAGCCUGUGAAGGUGUGCUGUGAGGCAUGCUGGAGGUAUCAGAAGUGCGAAUGCUGACAUAAGUAACGAUAAAGCGGGUGAAAAGCCCGCUCGCCGGAAGACCAAGGGUUCCUGUCCAACGUUAAUCGGGGCAGGGUGAGUCGACCCCUAAGGCGAGGCCGAAAGGCGUAGUCGAUGGGAAACAGGUUAAUAUUCCUGUACUUGGUGUUACUGCGAAGGGGGGACGGAGAAGGCUAUGUUGGCCGGGCGACGGUUGUCCCGGUUUAAGCGUGUAGGCUGGUUUUCCAGGCAAAUCCGGAAAAUCAAGGCUGAGGCGUGAUGACGAGGCACUACGGUGCUGAAGCAACAAAUGCCCUGCUUCCAGGAAAAGCCUCUAAGCAUCAGGUAACAUCAAAUCGUACCCCAAACCGACACAGGUGGUCAGGUAGAGAAUACCAAGGCGCUUGAGAGAACUCGGGUGAAGGAACUAGGCAAAAUGGUGCCGUAACUUCGGGAGAAGGCACGCUGAUAUGUAGGUGAAGUCCCUCGCGGAUGGAGCUGAAAUCAGUCGAAGAUACCAGCUGGCUGCAACUGUUUAUUAAAAACACAGCACUGUGCAAACACGAAAGUGGACGUAUACGGUGUGACGCCUGCCCGGUGCCGGAAGGUUAAUUGAUGGGGUCAGCGCAAGCGAAGCUCUUGAUCGAAGCCCCGGUAAACGGCGGCCGUAACUAUAACGGUCCUAAGGUAGCGAAAUUCCUUGUCGGGUAAGUUCCGACCUGCACGAAUGGCGUAAUGAUGGCCAGGCUGUCUCCACCCGAGACUCAGUGAAAUUGAACUCGCUGUGAAGAUGCAGUGUACCCGCGGCAAGACGGAAAGACCCCGUGAACCUUUACUAUAGCUUGACACUGAACAUUGAGCCUUGAUGUGUAGGAUAGGUGGGAGGCUUUGAAGUGUGGACGCCAGUCUGCAUGGAGCCGGCCUUGAAAUACCACCCUUUAAUGUUUGAUGUUCUAACGUUGACCCGUGAUCCGGGUUGCGGACAGUGUCUGGUGGGUAGUUUGACUGGGGCGGUCUCCUCCUAAAGAGUAACGGAGGAGCACGAAGGUUGGCUAAUCCUGGUCGGACAUCAGGAGGUUAGUGCAAUGGCAUAAGCCAGCUUGACUGCGAGCGUGACGGCGCGAGCAGGUGCGAAAGCAGGUCAUAGUGAUCCGGUGGUUCUGAAUGGAAGGGCCAUCGCUCAACGGAUAAAAGGUACUCCGGGGAUAACAGGCUGAUACCGCCCAAGAGUUCAUAUCGACGGCGGUGUUUGGCACCUCGAUGUCGGCUCAUCACAUCCUGGGGCUGAAGUAGGUCCCAAGGGUAUGGCUGUUCGCCAUUUAAAGUGGUACGCGAGCUGGGUUUAGAACGUCGUGAGACAGUUCGGUCCCUAUCUGCCGUGGGCGCUGGAGAACUGAGGGGGGCUGCUCCUAGUACGAGAGGACCGGAGUGGACGCAUCACUGGUGUUCGGGUUGUCAUGCCAAUGGCACUGCCCGGUAGCUAAAUGCGGAAGAGAUAAGUGCUGAAAGCAUCUAAGCACGAAACUUGCCCCGAGAUGAGUUCUCCCUGACUCCUUGAGAGUCCUGAAGGAACGUUGAAGACGACGACGUUGAUAGGCCGGGUGUGUAAGCGCAGCGAUGCGUUGAGCUAACCGGUACUAAUGAACCGUGAGGCUUAACCUUACAACGCCGAAG